AAGUCGUAACAAGGUUUCCGUAGGUGAACCUGCGGAAGGAUCAGUAAAGAGUAAGGGUCUUCAAGGCCCGACCUCCCACCCUUUGUUGUCGAACAAAUUACCGUUGCUUUGGCGGGACCGUCAGGUCCUCCGACCGGCUGCCGGGUCUCGCGACCAGGUAAGCGCCCGCCAGAGACCAACUUAAAACUCUUCGUUAAACAUUCGUCUGAGUAAAAUGAUUAAAUCAAUCAAAA
rnacentral:misc_RNA from 1 species